AUUGUGUUUUUAUACGAUAUCACGAAGACAUCUAACGACAGAGCACCCAAUAUAGAGAAAUCUUCAUCGACAUAAAGAGAGGAGGAAGGUGGGACCACAAAGAUAACCCAGAAAACUGUGGAUCUUAGAAACCGAUGUCAUAAUAAAAAUCGCCACGGCAAGACGGGUUCCUGGUCCUAUAUGGUCGAGUGGAGGACAAGUCGAUGUAAUCAAGAAACAAUCAACUACAAAACAUUUCCUGAUAAUUUGUUUAAUUCUAUACAAUUUAAGGAAGAUAGUAUCGGGCAUUCUCCUUAUUGGUAAUGAAAUUCAAAUUCCCUGCCAGUUUUUAUUUCACCGUAGCGCCACGAUACCAUCAAAUAUACCUCAUUACUGCUUUCCAAACUCACCAAAAUCUUACAAAAGUCGUGAAAAAUGGCAGACGAACUUCCAUCACGACGUCAUCACUCAGGAUGAAUGUUUUCCGUAUUCGUCCUCGUAAUGAGACUUUCGUUAAAAAUGGAUUUGAUUAUUCACCCACUUAAACAUAGAGGAUAGUAGGUGUAGCGCUGUGAUCAGAUUACGGAAGAUUGCAUCGGGACGGUUUCUAGUAUGAGAAUGACAAGUGCCGUACUCAUAUUAUUAAUUGAAUUCGAUGAUACUGCAAUUCAACAAUGGAGAACCGAGAAAAAAGUCUCCCGGCUCCGAUCACUCAAUCGGAUGCGGAAUCUGAGGGUAAUUUGUUAUCGGGAGAAGAUCUGACGAAUGCUGUAUUUAUUUUACAUACUCUUUCGUUCAUGUUCCUAUCUCGCCAUCUUAUUUCCAUGACUACCAAACGAAACAAUACUCUUUUGGGACAGAUAACAAAAGAUUUCUCCGAUACGCGGCGCCUGAUCGAUCACGUGAUAAGAUAGUCCCAAUGAUAAGCUCCCUCAGUCGGCGAAAUCGAUGUCGAUAAGACGAUUGCACAUAAAUGAAAAAGAUGGCGGAGAUAAGUAUGCUGGGGAGAAAUUUCCAUAUAGUCCAAUCAAUACCAACUUUAGAUGUAGGGUACGAUAUCGAGGCUGAUAUCCGUUUUGGUAAAAAUUGAAUAUUGGAAAACCCAAGCAAACCCAAAGAAGAUAACGAACUGAGCAGUUGGGACGGGGACUUCAAACGUAUGCAGCGUCAUGCUCCAACAAAGGCUUGAAUUACCUACUGUCGAGUUUAACAUGUUAAGUAACAACAUGAUUGGCUGGAAAUGCUACAUAUUAGGAAUCGACGAAUUCUUCGCUCUCUGGGGUCCAUGAUAUUCCGAGAUUACACUUCGAACAUUUACCUUGCCGGGCCGGGGGAGUUUGGUGGGAUAAUGUAACGCUAUCACAAACCUCUACUUGUUUUUCAAUUACUUAUAUCUUUUCUUAGAUAAAGAGGAUGCUUCUG
rnacentral:sRNA from 1 species